GGGGGUGCAAAGGUUUCGACGAGGAUUGGAAGCGCUGGUUGCAUGCCGGAGUGGGCUGGCUCCGUUACUAAGCCCAACACAUACAAACGCCGAUACUGACGUUCGUUACGCAUUAGCAGCUUAAUUGCUGCUACGUCUCUUGAUUCAUCGCCCGUGUGGGACUAGAGACGUUAUUUAGCGGGAUAGCCUUUGCGAGUGUCCGUGGCGCCGAGGCGAAAUUUAGCGGACUCCCCCGUAAGAGAUCCUGUUCGUGGGAGCUUCUCCGGGUUAAGCAAAACACGAACUAUGCAUGUAGACGCCUGAUGUGAAAGAUUUUCGGACGGGGGUUCGAUUCCCCCCACCUCCACCA
rnacentral:tmRNA from 1 species